AGGAAUAAGAAUUCUAUACAAAUAUCUGAAAACAUCUGACAAAGAAAAAAUAAAUGUAGGAAGAUAAAGACGAUGAGACACUAAUACGGGAUAUACAGAAUCCUCUUAUAUCGGACUGCCAUGAAGACUUCUUACAACAAUGACUUGUGCCUCUCUUAGUGCCCUGCAUAGUAUUAGUGAGAAGCAGGAAAAACUAAGUUGGAGGGGGAACGGGAGCUACAGGGGACUAAGGAUAGAUCCCAAGUGACAUCCUGCCAAGACUGUGAUCGAUCCGAUCGAUUAGAUAAGUACGCCCGCUCCCGCGGCUGCCAUAUUGAUCUGUUUGUUUGAGUAAGGCCAUUAAUGGAUGGGAAGCGGGUUGGGAUCGGACGCAAUAACCGCCGCCUCAUAGAUGGUUAUUUUCUAGAAUAAUUACCUCAAAACGAACAAUGACAAUAAAAAUCA